GACGAACGCUGGCGGCGUGCUUAACACAUGCAAGUCGAGCGAGGCCCCUCCUUCGGGAGGGUGUCCUAGCGGCGAACGGGUGAGUAACACGUGGGCAACCUGCCCUCAGCUCUGGGAUAACUCCGGGAAACCGGGGCUAAUACCGGAUACGACCUCCACGGGCAUCUGCGGAGGUGGAAAGUUUUUCGGCUGAGGAUGGGCCCGCGGCCUAUCAGCUAGUUGGUGGGGUAGUGGCCCACCAAGGCGACGACGGGUAGCCGGCCUGAGAGGGCGACCGGCCACACUGGGACUGAGACACGGCCCAGACUCCUACGGGAGGCAGCAGUGGGGAAUAUUGCGCAAUGGGCGAAAGCCUGACGCAGCGACGCCGCGUGAGGGACGAAGGCCUUCGGGUUGUAAACCUCUUUCAGCAGGGACGAAGCGAAAGUGACGGUACCUGCAGAAGAAGCACCGGCCAAAUACGUG
rnacentral:rRNA from 1 species